rnacentral:rRNA from 1 species
GGGCGUCUCUUUCUCAUUACGAGUGGAGGCGCACCUAUAGCGUACACGCUGAUACCCGAAAGAUGGUGAACUAUGCCUGGCCAGGACGAAGCCAGGGGAAACCCUGGUGGAGGUCCGCAGCGAUUCUGACGUGCAAAUCGAUCGUCGGAGCUUGGUAUAGGGGCGAAAGACCAAUCGAACCAUCUAGUAGCUGGUUCCCUCUGAAGUUUCCCUCAGGAUAGCUUGCGCUCGGUUGAGACGAGUCUCAUCCGGUAGAGCGAAUGAUUAGAGGCCUUGGGGUCGAAACGACCUCAACCUAUUCUCAAACUCCAAAUAGAUGAGAUCCCCGGCUUGCUUGAAAGUGAAGCCGGGACUCGGAUCAGAGUGCCAAGUGGGCCAAUUUU